rnacentral:tRNA from 1 species
AGCUUCAUGGCGCAGUGGAAGCGCGCCGGGCUCAUAACCCGGAGGUCCUCCGAUCGAAACGGAGUGGAGCUA